GACGUACGCUGGCGGCGUGCCUAAUACAUGCAAGUAGAACGCUGAAGGAGGAGCUUACUUCUCUGGAUGAGUUGCGAACGGGUGAGUAACGCGUAGGUAACCUGCCUGGUAGCGGGGGAUAACUAUUGGAAACGAUAGCUAAUACCGCAUAAGAGUAGAUGUUGCAUGACAUUUACUUAAAAGGUGCAAUUGCACCACUACCAGAUGGACCUGCGUUGUAUUAGCUAGUUGGUGGGGUAACGGCUUACCAAGGCGACGAUACAUAGCCGACCUGAGAGGGUGAUCGGCCACACUGGGACUGAGACACGGCCCAGACUCCUGCGGGAGGCAGCAGUAGGGAAUCUUCGGCAAUGGACGGAAGUCUGACCGAGCAACGCCGCGUGAGUGAAGAAGGUUUUCGGAUCGUAAAGCUCUGUUGUAAGAGAAGAACGAGUGUGAGAGUGGAAAGUUCACACUGUGACGGUAUCUUACCAGAAAGGGACGGCUAACUACGUGCCAGCCGCCGCAGUAA
rnacentral:rRNA from 1 species